AUAUCUCUCUGUACGGGAAGGAUGAGAAGCUUCGACUAAGGUUCGAUUCGAGCGAAAGCGAGAAAGCGUUGCCAACGGCAACGACCCGAAGGACGAAGCGCGCAGCGCUGAGUAAUCCUUCCCCCACCACCA
rnacentral:sRNA from 1 species